AUUGAACGCUGGCGGCAUGCCUUACACAUGCAAGUCGAACGGCAGCACGGGGCAACCUGGUGGCGAAUGGCGAACGGGUGAGUAAUGCAUCGGAACGUACCUUUCAGUGGGGGAUAACGUAGCGAAAGUUACGCUAAUACCGCAUAUUCUGUGAGCAGGAAAGCAGGGGAUCGCAAGACCUUGCGCUGAUUGGGCGGCCGAUGUCAGAUUAGCUAGUUGGUGAGGUAAAGGCUCACCAAGGCGACGAUCUGUAGCGGGUCUGAGAGGAUGAUCCGCCACACUGGAACUGAGACACGGUCCAGACUCCUACGGGAGGCAGCAGUGGGGAAUUUUGGACAAUGGGGGCAACCCUGAUCCAGCCAUGCCGCGUGAGUGAAGAAGGCCUUCGGGUUGUAAAGCUCUUUCGGCCGGGAAGAAAUCGUAUGGGCUAAUACCCUGUGUGGAUGACGGUACCGGAAUAAGAAGCACCGGCUAACUACGUGCCAGCCGCCGCAGUAAUAC
rnacentral:rRNA from 1 species